UCCUCAGUAGCUCAGCGGUAGAGCGGUCGACUGUUAAUCGAUUGGUCACAGGUUCGAAUCCUGUCUGGGGAG
rfam:Limnothrix sp. P13C2 contig_26, whole genome shotgun sequence.